GGAGGGCCGCGCGCCCCGACAAAGAGCGCGCGGGCCCAGGCGACCCCUUCCGUGGCAGCAGAGGGAGGCUGGGACAAGGCUCUGCGCCCCCGCGCGCCGCGGUGUCCCCCAGCCAGGGAAUUCGAGGCCCCCAGCUCCUGCUCCGCCUGUCGUGGUGCUGCUUCCCCACAGUCGCACGUCUCCCCGGCCCCCGUCCGUCCGCUUACCCCAGACUGGCCGGUUUCACACCCUGCCUGCGGGGAUCCCCUUGCCUUCGGCGGCUACAGACAGUUAGUCACCACCCUGUAAGGCUUCGUGGGGCCAAAAACGCUUUCCUUUUGAAAGGAGGGUAGCUAAGCCCGAUACUGUUUUUCUGGAGUCAUGGUCUGCUUGACUCCUGUCUUGAAGAAAAGGGAAGACUUGGGGAGGAGAUGGGCGCCAGCAAAGAUGGAGACGAGAAAAGUUUCAGAGAAAACUGGUCACAUAACAGAGGCUCAGCUGAUAUUCGAGAGACAAAUAAAGGGUCCCUUUGCUCGCUCUGGGGCCACACCAGACCAUUUGGCCAAACUGAAGUGUGGACUUGCAGUUUGGUUUUGAGUUUGCUGCCUUACCAGUGAGGAAUGCAAAGAACUUUCAACUCCAAAUUUCAUUACAAAAGCUCUUCUUGGCUGUGUGCUUCAGGGAGCUUGCUGGCCCUGCAGAACCAAUCGUCAGUGGUCAUGACGCCCCCUUGCCAGUGGUAGGUUGCGGCACAUGGGUCUGAACAUGACGUGAUGUUUGCACGUGGAUGCCACCACACAGCCAGGCUGGGCUAAGCUGACACCCAGGAGAAGACAGGAAAAUGGAAAGGCCUAGAUUUGGGGCAGAGGGUGGGGGUGCUGAUCUGCUGGUCCAUCAACCUUAGUGUCAUCCCUGUAUGUCAGUGGCCAAAAGUCUGUUCACCAAAUGCCUGCCCACUGUAAUUCCCCAUGUGGCCAGUUUGCUGAAUUUACUCACUUAUUUUAGCUAUCUAGAUUUAGUUGACUGAUUUUCACUUGGUCUUCAUAAUAGCACUUAAGGAACAUUAAAUUUGCCUCAGUCCCAGUUCCUUGUUGCUGUAACUUGAGACUGACUUUUAGUGAAUUGUCCUGCUUAAGAAGUCACCUUGUUGCUGGACUUAGGUGAGGCGAGUCAAUUAUCUCUUUUUAUUUAAGCCAAAUGAAUGCUGAGUCCUGGUUUGCUCUUACUUGCAACUAAAAGUGUACAAAUAGUUGUAGGUUGAGGGAGAGACAGAGGGAGAGAGAAUCAUGUCUCACUUGUUUCUGGGUUGUAGGAAUGCAAGUGUGGCUGAUUCGUGCAUUGAUUAUAGCAAUCUGCACUUUUCUAUAUUUUUCAAUUUUAAAAAUAAUGGUAAUGUGUUGCUACAAU